AACGAACGCUGGCGGCAGGCUUAACACAUGCAAGUCGAGCGCCCCGCAAGGGGAGCGGCAGACGGGUGAGUAACGCGUGGGAAUCUACCUUUUGCUACGGAAUAACGCAGGGAAACUUGUGCUAAUACCGUAUGUGUCCUUCGGGAGAAAGAUUUAUCGGCAAGAGAUGAGCCCGCGUUGGACUAGCUAGUUGGUGGGGUAAAGGCCUACCAAGGCGACGAUCCAUAGCUGGUCUGAGAGGAAGAUCAGCCACAUUGGGACUGAGACACGGCCCAAACUCCUACGGGAGGCAGCAGUGGGGAAUAUUGGACAAUGGGCGCAAGCCUGAUCCAGCCAUGCCGCGUGAGUGAUGAAGGCCCUAGGGUUGUAAAGCUCUUUCACCGGAGAAGAUAAUGACGGUAUCCGGAGAAGAAGCCCCGGCUAACUUCGUGCCAGCAGCCGCG
rnacentral:rRNA from 2 species